GGGGGCGUAAAGGUUUCGACGGGGAUUUUGAAGUUCAGUAAGCGGGUAGAGCGGGCGAAAGCUCUUUAAUCGUCGCACCUAAAUAUAAACGACAACAACAAUUAUCGUUUAGCUUACGCUGCCUAAUUUUAGGCGGCUGCCUGACCGGAUCAGCACCGCGGGUUCCGGCCGGGCCUAAUGAGCGGUCAACGUCUUGAGGGAGCUUCCCGGCCCUUCUGACGUAUUAGGGAAUACCUCUUCGGUGAGCCUGCCCACCGGCGCUCCGGAGAGGGAACUUUAAAAGAUAGGCUACACUCGUAGAAAGCUGGAUGGAGAGGUUUUCGGACGCGGGUUCGACUCCCGCCGCCUCCACCA
rnacentral:tmRNA from 1 species